UAUGACCCAGGACAGCCACAGCCAGAGAACACUCACAUAAUAGCAUCAUAAGGCUCAAUGUCACAAUGAUCUGGGAAGGGCAACUAGCCAUAGGCACUGCUAUUUGGUUCAGAGAAGCACCAAUUAAUUCGACUGCUCUCUGAUCCACUUGAAGAACUCAGCUGGAAAUCAAACAAAGCCAACCUAAAAAAAAACGUCUAACACUAGAGUAUUCCUGUAUCCUGGAGAAGGCAGCACUCGAGCCACCAUCUUGGAAGUGAAGAUCAGGCCCUCAGCAGACACAAAACCUGCCAGUGCCAUGAUCUUGGAUUUUUCAACCUGCAGGACUAUUCAAUGAAAUUCCAAUGAAAAUCUCAAGUUAUUAUGUGAAUAUUGAAAAACGAACCCUAAAGUUUAUAUGGAGAGCCAAAAAAUGCAAAAGAGCCAGCACAUAUUGAAAGAGAAGAACAAAGUCAGAAGAU
rnacentral:lncRNA from 1 species